GUUUAGCCCUGAUUGAGCGGCAUGUUUGAGCUCUUUUCUAGGAACGAAGAAAAAGCGAGUAGCGAAAGCAGGAAAUAGC
rnacentral:misc_RNA from 1 species